UAAUUUUCAGGUUAUUAGUCUUGUGGGAGCACAAAAGGUAACUUUGCAUCCUGAUGAUAUAUUACUACUUGCAAAUUUCAUAUUGUCCUCCGAAUCUUUUAGGACUUCGGAGUCUUUUUCACCCAUAUGCUUGCCAAGAUACAAUCCUAUGGCCUUCCUAUACGCUUAUGUUCAUUUUUUUGAUGAAAAUACUUACUUGACUCUUCUUACUCCGAGAUCAGAUGCCUUCUUUGAUUUGAAAGAUUCAAGGGCCCGCAUUCAGGAUGUUCUAUUGAAAUCAAAUGUCCUUCUCGAAGUCCAAAGGUCUUUGCACGAGAAUGUACUUAUGUAGUUAUGUUAGUACAUCUACUAGUUAGGAAAAUUAAAAAACUUAAAUUUGGACAUGUUUGCAAACAAGUGUUAUGAAAAAGUAAAACGGACAUAUCUUUUGCAUACGAUGUCGAAAAAACGCAUAAUAUAUCAAAAAAAAUCAGGUCAAAUUUUUAG